rnacentral:tRNA from 1 species
GUCCUCGUGGCUCAUCUGAUAGAGCGUGCGUUGUACAAAAGCGUAGGCGUCGUCCAAACGUGGGUUCGAAUCCCACCGAGGCCA